UUAGUUGAUCCACUUCAGGUUCAUGACCCUCGGCUUGGAAAGUAGAACUUGCAGCACCUUGUCCUUCUGCAAGACUUGGAGUUGCAGAGGAAUCAGCAGCUGCAGGUUGAAAAGUAUUUCAUUAGAAAAUUGUGAUGGAGCUGUUUCUGGUUGAGCAAGGAGCGAAGACUCUUUUCCAAAAGUGGCCUUGGGGUUUUAACAUAUUUCUCUCCAUCAAGUUUAUACCCCAUUUUAGGCAAACUCUCAAGGUGAGCAAAUAGCAUUUCAUCUCCAGCCAUGUGCCUUGAGCAACCACUGUCCAUAUACCAAAGCUGUUUCCCCUUUAGUUGAGCUCUUGAACAUGUGACUUUUGAGUGCAGCUCAAUCUACAAAACAAAUAUUCAGUUUUUCUUAAUAGGUACCCAUACCUUGAUGGGUCCUUGAUUAU